UGCCAACUCUGGGCUUCUGAAGGUCUCCUUGGAGGUGUGAAGGAGAGGGCAUUCCCCCCUUGUACCCCCUCCCCACCCCACUUUGGUUCUAAUCUUGAACACUUCUCUGUUUGUAGAGCUCCAGAGGGAGGCCAUCGCCGGGAAUGUCUCUUGCCAGCUGCAUUUGCUGCACCCGCAUUGGACCAGGGAUCCACGCUCUGAUCCUGUCUGCCAUUCACCUCGGGCCCUCUGCAAAGACAGUCCUGGAGCUUCAGCCAGUCCAGAAAAAGGUCUCCGGAGUGUAACUUGAACUGGGAGCACAGGCUGCAUCCUCCAGGCUGGUGUCGCCUCUUCUGGCAUUUGGUUCCUAGCUUUGGCGCAGGCCAAGUCGCUGGUUUAGGCUUCUCCAGCCCCAAAUCACCCAGAAGGUCCUUCCUGCUCCAGGCCCCCAGCUGAGGCUGACUAAGAACCACCGAGGCCCAUUGCAAGCAGAGGCCCCGUGAAUGCAAGAGAAACGGCCGGGAGCUCUUUGGAUUGUACUGGCUGGACGACACCACGUCCCCUCCAGAGAGGUGACAUUCCUGGAGCAUGGAAGCCAUGUGGACUCUGCCAAUCACAAGAUCGCCAGGGAGGGAGGGAUAAAAGCUGGACCUGUUUGCAGGCUUGCUCCGUAUUUGUGGAGAAUGAGACGACAAUUUACUGUCUGGGAGAGGCAGAGUACCAAAUGGCCAGGAUGGCUUCAGGCCCCGAAUCCGCCCCCACUUGGAGUGGGAAAACCUUGACGUUCAAGAGACAAGCCAGCAAUCCAAUGCCUGGCAUGGAGGAGGCCAAGAUUUCUGUUACCCCGAGAUGUCAUGACACUUGAUGGGUAGAAGGUUGAAAAGAGGAACUGGACAAAUAUGUGGGCGAUAAGCUUAGAAUUGACCACUGCCAGUGAGAGCUGACCCUUAGAAGAGAUGCCGGAGGGAGGAGAGGGAGAGACACAGAAAGCCUGGGGGCUUGACUGGAUAAGGCCCCUCCUGGGCCAGUGUGCAGAGAUGGAAGGAAAUAUGGCUAAGAAAUGCUCACCAGGAAGACCGAGUGUAAGCAGCCAAGGGGUGGGAAAGCAUCCUUCUGUAGGAACCUCAGGAGAGUGACUGGGCUACAGGUGAGGACAGGAUCACAGAGGCCCUGAAAGGAAUCCCUAAAUGGCAGUGAGAUCAAGGAGAAUUGAGCAGCGGACUGAAGCUUUGGAACACCAGGCAGGCCAGGCCCAAGCUUUUGGUGUGUGAGGCAAUGUGGGAGAGGGCCCCCCCCUUACGGAAGUCUCCUGUCCCCUCGGGCUUUUCCAUACAGUUUUCCUUAGAAUAGCGGUUUGGUUUAAUUCACAUGUGGGCAACCCACAGGCCCACGUAGGGCAGCAUGUAUCCUGCAGCUGUGCUUCCAUCGAUGCAUGCAGCCUCUGGAGUGAGGAGGGUGCCCACCCUUGGUUUCUAUCUCUUGGGAAGUCAGACAAAUGGAUGAAUAAAGAGGAAAGUCACUCAUAGGGAUUGGAACCA
rnacentral:lncRNA from 1 species